ACGCUGGCGGCAGGCCUAACACAUGCAAGUCGAGCGGUAGCACAGAGAGCUUGCUCUCGGGUGACGAGCGGCGGACGGGUGAGUAAUGUCUGGGAAACUGCCUGAUGGAGGGGGAUAACUACUGGAAACGGUAGCUAAUACCGCAUAACGUCGCAAGACCAAAGUGGGGGACCUUCGGGCCUCAUGCCAUCAGAUGUGCCCAGAUGGGAUUAGCUGGUAGGUGGGGUAACGGCUCACCUAGGCGACGAUCCCUAGCUGGUCUGAGAGGAUGACCAGCCACACUGGAACUGAGACACGGUCCAGACUCCUACGGGAGGCAGCAGUGGGGAAUAUUGCACAAUGGGCGCAAGCCUGAUGCAGCCAUGCCGCGUGUGUGAAGAAGGCCUUCGGGUUGUAAAGCACUUUCAGCGGGGAGGAAGGCGGUGAGGUUAAUAACCUCAUCGAUUGACGUUACCCGCAGAAGAAGCACCGGCUAACUCCGUGCCAGCAGCCGCGGUAAUACGGAGGGUGCAAGCGUUAAUCGGAAUUACUGGGCGUAAAGCGCACGCAGGCGGUCUGUCAAGUCGGAUGUGAAAUCCCCGGGCUCAACCUGGGAACUGCAUUCGAAACUGGCAGGCUAGAGUCUUGUAGAGGGGGGUAGAAUUCCAGGUGUAGCGGUGAAAUGCGUAGAGAUCUGGAGGAAUACCGGUGGCGAAGGCGGCCCCCUGGACAAAGACUGACGCUCAGGUGCGAAAGCGUGGGGAGCAAACAGGAUUAGAUACCCUGGUAGUCCACGCUGUAAACGAUGUCGAUUUGGAGGUUGUGCCCUUGAGGCGUGGCUUCCGGAGCUAACGCGUUAAAUCGACCGCCUGGGGAGUACGGCCGCAAGGUUAAAACUCAAAUGAAUUGACGGGGGCCCGCACAAGCGGUGGAGCAUGUGGUUUAAUUCGAUGCAACGCGAAGAACCUUACCUGGUCUUGACAUCCACAGAACUUUCCAGAGAUGGAUUGGUGCCUUCGGGAACUGUGAGACAGGUGCUGCAUGGCUGUCGUCAGCUCGUGUUGUGAAAUGUUGGGUUAAGUCCCGCAACGAGCGCAACCCUUAUCCUUUGUUGCCAGCGGUUAGGCCGGGAACUCAAAGGAGACUGCCAGUGAUAAACUGGAGGAAGGUGGGGAUGACGUCAAGUCAUCAUGGCCCUUACGACCAGGGCUACACACGUGCUACAAUGGCAUAUACAAAGAGAAGCGACCUCGCGAGAGCAAGCGGACCUCAUAAAGUAUGUCGUAGUCCGGAUUGGAGUCUGCAACUCGACUCCAUGAAGUCGGAAUCGCUAGUAAUCGUAGAUCAGAAUGCUACGGUGAAUACGUUCCCGGGCCUUGUACACACCGCCCGUCACACCAUGGGAGUGGGUUGCAAAAGAAGUAGGUAGCUUAACCUUCGGGAGGGCGCUUACCACUUUGUGAUUCAUGACUGGGG
rnacentral:rRNA from 1 species